GACUCAUUAAAAUAACAUUUCAAUGACCAAGGUUGCUUUACCUGUCGAGUGCAAGGAAACCAUAAUCUGCUGUUGGUAUUGUCUAUUCUUGCAGCCCUACAAUGACAGAGGAAGAGGAAGACUGGAAUGAAGGGGAUCAAAGGAAAUGCAGAGAUGUAUGAUGAUGUUGAACUGAAACAACCCUCAAAACAUCCAUCUGCCACCUCCCAACUGAAUCAGUCCUCUAACAAUAUUUCUGUGGCCCCUGCUCUUCCUGCCCGACCAAGUGUGAAAGCGAGUGGAGAGCGCAAGGUAUAAAUGAUUUACAACACUAAAACAAAUUUUGGUAAGAAAGGCAGUCAUGCCAUGCAAAUGUAUCCACAGAUUUUUGGCUGAAGUGUAAUUUCAGCUCGGAGGGUGGAAUUGUAUUCAUCACGAAGCAUUCAUUAUUGUAAUGUACUCAUUAUAAUUUGAGCUGUAAAGGAGCAAGUCAAACGAUUGAUUGGGACCAUAGCAAAAAUCCAGACAUUCGGACUACAUUUUAUGGAAGUUGCCUUUUUGAAAGUGUCUCUCUUGGUCUAUCCUCUUGUUGAAUGACUGACUUUGUGGCCACAAAAGGGGUGAUGAGUGUUGACGGGGCUUAUGGAAGAACCGUUAUUUGAAAGGUGAAACGAAGAAGUUGGUAUUUCCAUUCCUGGAAGCAAAAAAAUAAAUAAAUGUUAAAAAAAAAAAAAAAGGGAAUCAUAUUGAUGAAUGAAGCUUAUUUGAGUUAAUUUGAUCAGUGUGAGAUUAUGGUAGGCAUGACAUGGUUUCUAAUUUUGUUGACGUGUUGAUUUGUGCCACCAGUCAAUGCCCAAAGCAGAUGAUCUUUACGAUGAUACCGGAGUUCAGGACCUCAGUGCUGAUGAGAAUGACGAAGACUAUGAUGAUGUUUUACCUUUGGAGAUGGCUUUGCAACACCAAAAGCAAGAGCAAAAGCAAAAGUCAUGGCUUCCGUUCCGAUUAAGCAAGAAGGAUAGCAAGAAGCCUUUUAAGAAAGUUGAGGAAAGUAAAGAGCGACAAUCUUCAGCAAAGGCCUCCCCCGAAGGUAACGUAUCAACAUUUUCCUCCCCAGAACAUCAGUUGCAAACUCAGUACCACUGGCUUCUCUCUCUACAACAUUCUAAUGUUGCACUCUCAGAUGACAGUAUAAUUUGUCACUUAACACACCACAAUCAAACCACAAGCUCUUUGACCCACGAUGGAGGUCCUUUUAUCGAUUAUGAUUUUGUCUCCAAACAGUGGUUACAAAUGCAUGUUUGUACAAGUAAUAGUUUGUUUGGGUGACGGCUUGCUCGCUCGUUCGUUUUCACUUCUGUUCAUUGUGGUUUGCACUUGUUAUCCAGACUUGAUGAGUGGUGCCAAGGGAGAUCAUACAUGUCCUUUUAUCCCAGCUUGCCAAAUUGAUUGCUUGUUUUCCGAGAUUGGAACUCGGCCAUACUUGCGCUGAAGAAGCCAAGUUCAAUUGCUAAUCAAUCCUCCACUUGUAGAUGGCGAAGACAUAUAUGAUGACGUGGAUCAGGAAAUUGAAGAGAGUCCAGUCAGGUGAGAGAAUUAAUUGUUUUGAACUUCGUUGAUUUGCAACUUUGGUUUGUAAUGAAAUUUUGGAAUGUUUGCAGUGUAGUUUGGCUUUUUCACAUCUGCAUUGUAUCCUCAUUGUUUGCAAAAUGCGUAACAUUGGCUAUGGUUAUUAGAUCAAUCAUGUGGUACUGGAUUAUAUAACAAUGUUUUUGAAUUAAAUGUUUUUUUUUUUCAGUUCAAAAAAAAUGGAAAAGGAGAAAGAGGAAAAGGGGAGGAAAUUCAAGGUGAGGUCCAUUAUAUUAGGAUUUAAUCGUACUUACCUUAAAAGUGCCAAUAUAAUCAUGAAUUUAAUUUGCCAAUAUAAACAUGAAUAAUAAAAAGGGAGAUGUACCAAAGCAAUAUUACGGUAUACAUUUUCAUGUUUUCACGAGCAAAAGUAUUAACUCAUCAAAAGGCAAAUUUUGUUUUGCACGGUGGUCGUCAAGAAGCAUCGCUAACCCUCGGGGGAAUGGGGCG
rnacentral:lncRNA from 1 species